ACACGUAGGAUCCAAGCGUUAUCCGGAUUUACUGGGCGUAAAGCGCGUGUAGGUGGUUAGGUAAGUUGGAUGUUAAAUCUCCCGGCUCAACUGGGAGCUGUCGUUCAAAACUGCCAAACUAGAGGACGGUAGAGGGAGGUGGAAUUCAGGGUGUAGUGGUGAAAUGCGUAGAUAGCCUGAGGAACACCAGUGGCGAAGGCGGCCUCCUGGCCCGCUCCUGACACUAAGACGCGAAAGCUAGGGUAGCGAACGGGAUUAGAUACCCCAGUAGUCC
rnacentral:rRNA from 1 species